CUCCUCUGUCCAUGGAAUUCUCCAGGCAAGAACACUGGAGUGGGUAGUCACUCCCUUUUCCAAGGGAUUUUCCUGACUUAGCGAUCAAAUCCAGGUCUCCUGCACUGCAGGCAGAUUGUCUACCAUCUGAGCCACCAGGGAAGUCCUUAAAACUAAAGNNNGUUCCAGUUACCCCAUUCUGGAAGAGUGUUUAGCAACAUUCAUAAGCAAGAAUCAAAUUCUUCAAGAGAUAAGAGUCAUUUCAAAAUACAGUCCUAAUACCUGCCAUAAUAAUCAUUCAUUAGAAGAUGGAUUUCCCCCCACUUGUUCUUAAGUAAAGUUGUCCCUUUUAUUUUAUUUUAUUCUUUUUUAAAU
rnacentral:lncRNA from 1 species